GACGAACGCUGGCGGCGUGCUUAACACAUGCAAGUCGAACGGAAAGGCCCUGCUUGCUGGGUACUCGAGUGGCGAACGGGUGAGUAACACGUGGGUGAUCUGCCCUGCACUUCGGGAUAAGCCUGGGAAACUGGGUAUAAUACCGGAUAGGAGCCAUUAUUUGUGUGAUGGUUGGAAAGUUUUUUCGGUGUAGGAUGAGCUCGCGGCCUAUCAGCUUGUUGGUGGGGUAAUGGCCUACAAAGGCGGCGACGGGUAGCCGGCCUGAGAGGGUGGACGGCCACAUUGGGACUGAGAUACGGCCCAGACUCCUACGGGAGGCAGCAGUGGGGAAUAUUGCACAAUGGGCGCAAGCCUGAUGCAGCGACGCCGCGUGUGGGAUGACGGCCUUCGGGUUGUAAACUCCUUUCGCUAGGGACGAAGCUUUUUGUGACGGUACCUAGAUAAGAAGCACCGGCUAACUACGUG
rnacentral:rRNA from 1 species